rnacentral:rRNA from 1 species
UUGUCCUACGGGACGCAGCAGUGGGGGAUAUUGCACAAUGGGGGAAACCCUGAUGCAGCGACGCCGCGUGGGCGAAGAAGUAUUUCGGUAUGUAAAGCCCUAUCAGCAGGGAAGAAGAAAUGACGGUACCUGAGUAAGAAGCACCGGCUAAAUACGUGCCAGCAGCCGCGGUAAUACGGAGGAUGCGAGCGUUAUCCGGAUUUAUUGGGUUUAAAGGGUGCGCAGGCGGCACGGCAAGCCGGCGGUCAAAUCGCGGGGCUCAACCCCGCCCAGCCGUCGGAACUGCCGGGCUAGAGUGGGCGAGA